GUCUUCAUAGCUCAGUGGUAGAGCGUCGGUCUCGUAAACCGGAUGUCGAGAGUUCAAUCCUCUCUGAAGGCU
rnacentral:tRNA from 1 species